rnacentral:other from 2 species
UAAUGUCUGCGAUGUUCGUGAUGUGAAACUUUUGCUUCCUGAUUUAUUUAAAAAGGAGUUCGUCCCUGGAAGGGGUGUGCCAGCCUGCCGCUGAGCAGGACGCCUAAACCUUUUAUCACAUUACUCCACCUUGUGAGCCCAAGGAAACAAAAGCUAAUAUUUUACACACGGCAUCGCGGUCAUUCC